UACAGAGGGUGCGAGCGUUUGUUCGGAAUUAUUGGGCGUAAAGCGCGUGUAGGCGGGAUGGCAAGUCGGGUGUGAAAGCCCUCAGCUCAACUGAGGAAGUGCGCCCGAAACUACUGUUCUUGAGUACUGGAGAGGGUGGCGGAAUUCCCGGUGUAGAGGUGAAAUUCGUAGAUAUCGGGAGGAACACCAGUGGCGAAGGCGGCCACCUGGCCAGAUACUGACGCUGAGACGCGAAAGCGUGGGGAGCAAACAGG
rnacentral:rRNA from 1 species